GAUGAACGCUAGCGGCAGGCUUAACACAUGCAAGUCGAGGGGCAGCGCGGGAUAGCAAUAUCCUGGCGGCGACCGGCGGAAGGGUGCGUAACGCGUGAGCGACAUGCCCGUUGCCCGGGGACAACCGGUGGAAACGCCGACUAAUCCCCGAUGGGAUAUUGUGCCGCAUGGCACGAUAUUGAAAGUUACGGCGGCGACGGAUUGGCUCGCGUCCGAUUAGCUUGUUGGCGGGGUAACGGCCCACCAAGGCUGCGAUCGGUAGGGGUUCUGAGAGGAAGGCCCCCCACAAGGGGACUGAGACACGGACCAUACUCCUACGGGAGGCAGCAGUGAGGAAUAUUGGUCAAUGGGCGGAAGCCUGAACCAGCCAUGCCGCGUGCGGGAAGGAGGCCCUAUGGGCUGUGAACCGCUUUUGCCUGGGGGCAAUAAGGGCGUCGCGCACGUCCGAUGAGAGUACCAGGCGAAUAAGCAGCGGCUAACUCCGUG
rnacentral:rRNA from 1 species